rnacentral:rRNA from 1 species
UAGGGUGCGGGCGUUAAUCGGAAUUACUGAGCGUAAAGCGUGCGCAGGCGGUCUGUUAAGAGAGGUGUGAAAGCCCCGGGCUUAACCUGGGAACGGCGCUUCUAACUGGCAGGCUGGAGUGUGGCAGAGGGGGGUGGAAUUCCACGUGUAGCAGUGAAAUGCGUAGAUAUGUGGAGGAACACCGAUGGCGAAGGCAGCCCCCUGGGUUAACACUGACGCUCAUGCACGAAAGCGUGGGGAGCAAACAGGAUUAGAUACCCUGGUAGUCCACGCCCUAAACGAUGUCAACUAGCUGUUGGGGCCUUCGGGCCUUGGUAGCGCAGCUAACGCGUGAAGUUGACCGCCUGGGGAGUACGGUCGCAAGAUUAAAACUC